AGGUAAGCUACUAAGAGCGAAUGGUGGAUGCCUUGACUGGUAAAGGCGAUGAAGGACGUACUAGACUGCGAUAAGCUACGGGGAGCUGUCAAGAAGCUUUGA
rnacentral:rRNA from 1 species